GUGUUCUCGCUUUGGCAGCACAUAUACUAAAAUUGAAACGAUACAGAGAAGAUUAGCAUGGUCCCUGUGCAAGGAUGACAUGCAAAUUCGUGAAACGUUCCAUACAAAU